rnacentral:rRNA from 1 species
GACGAACGCUGGCGGCGUGCUUAACACAUGCAAGUCGAACGGUAAGGCCCUUCGGGGUACACGAGUGGCGAACGGGUGAGUAACACGUGGGUGAUCUGCCCUGCACUUCGGGAUAAGCCUGGGAAACUGGGUCUAAUACCGGAUAGGACUCCUGGCUUCAUGGUUGGGGGUGGAAAGCUUUUGCGGUGUGGGAUGGGCCCGCGGCCUAUCAGCUUGUUGGUGGGGUAAUGGCCUACCAAGGCGACGACGGGUAGCCGGCCUGAGAGGGUGACCGGGCGCACUGGGACUGAGAUACGGCCCAGACUCCUACGGGAGGCAGCAGUGGGGAAUAUUGCACAAUGGGCGCAAGCCUGAUGCAGCGACGCCGCGUGAGGGAUGACGGCCUUCGGGUUGUAAACCUCUUUCAGCUAUGACGAAGCGCAAGUGACGGUAGUAGCAGAAGAAGGACCGGCCAACUACGUGCCAGCAGCCGCCGUAA